AGGUGUUACAGCUCUUCAGAAUUUGUCUAGCACGUUUUCCAGUCUUCAAUCCCAGGUGGGCUCGGGAAGAGGCAU
rnacentral:snRNA from 10 species